UCUGGUGUUAGACAGAGUAGAAUAAUAAAGUAAAGUGCAUCAGGGCGGAAUGUGACUCAAUGGGCUAACUAGACACAUUGGCAGAUAGGCCAGUUAACCCAUUAAGAGCCAGCACUCUCCCAUUAACAAGUAAAAUCAUCCGGUGUUGGACGGAGUAAAAUAAUCUGGCGUUAGACAGAGUAAAAUAAUCUAAAAUAAUCUGGCAUUAGGCGUAAAAAAAAUACCUGUGGUUCCGGUUUCAUAUCGUGAAAAAAUUAGGGUCGGUAGGUCGGAAAUAAAAUUUUUUUGGAAUAUUUUUUUCAUGGUUUUGGCGGUUUU